CUUCCCCUCAUAUCUGCCCACACCCCCCAUAUCCCCCCCACCCAUCUGACCCCCCCCCCCAUAUCCCCCCCACCUCGGCUCCAUCCUCUCCCCCCCCCCGCAUCCCCCACGGGGUUCCAACAGGUUCAGGGGCGUUCCAGGCCAAACCAGCUCCACGGGCAGCCUGUGGGGAGAGUCACAAGGUCAGGCACAAGGUCAGGGUCACAGGCAGCAGGUUCAAGGUCAGGGGUCAAGUCAUGGUAGGUCCACUUAGGGUCAGGGUCAGAGGUUACAAGGUCAGGGGUCACAAGAUCAUGGGAUCAUAGGUCACAAGGUCAGGGGUCACAAGGUCAUGGGUCACAGGUCACAAGGUCAGGGGUCACGAGGUCAGGGGUCAGGGGUCACAAGAUCAGGGGUCAGGGGUCACAAGGUCAGGGGUCACAAGGUCAGGGGUCAGGGUCAGAAGGACAGGGGUCACAAGGUCAGGGGUCAGAGGUUACAAGGUCAGGGGUCAUAAGGUCAGUGCCCAGGGGUCACAAGGUCAAGGGGUCAGAGGUCAUAAGGUCAGAGAUUACAAGGUCAGGGGUCACAGGUCACAAGAUCAGGGGUCACAAGGUCAUGGGUCAGAGGUCACGAGGUCAAGGGAUUAGGGUUAGGGGUCAUGGGGGCAGAAGGGAACAAGAGAGGAUGGGGUUAAAGGUUAAAGGGUCAGGGGUCACGGGGUCAGGAGGUGGGGUCAAGGGUCACAGGGUCAGAGUUCACAAGGUCAGGGGCCAGGAUGUGGGGUCAAGGGUCAUGGGGUCAGAGGUCAUGGGGUAAAGAAACAGGGUCAGGGGUCAGGGUAUGAGG
rnacentral:lncRNA from 1 species